AAAAUUUCGGAACGCUUCACGAACUUGCGCGUCAUCCUUGUGCAGGGGCCAUGCUGUUCUUGUUCUUAUUGUUCCAGUUUCAGUAUAUGCUGAGGAAUGAAC